rnacentral:tRNA from 1 species
GCCCUCGUAGCUCAAUGGAUAGAGCUAUUCCGUCCUAAGGAAGAGAUAUGGGUUCGAUUCCUGUCGAGGGCAC